AUGAAGAAAGCCAAAACCAAUCCUUCUGCAGAAGACAGGAUGCAUGCAACCAUAAUGGCUUCAAGUGAAAGGCUUGCUGUUGCCAUAGAGAAACUUAUUAGCAGCGCCAACCCCGCCAUUGAUGGUCUUUGGGAUGAGAUGAAAGAACUCCCUGGUUUUGAUUUGGAUUCCCUUGCACAUUACUAUGCCUAUUUGGUUGACAAUCCUCGUGUUGCAACAGCAUUCAAGGUCUUGGGAGAUGUCCAGAGAAAGGUUUGGGUCUCUAGGUAUGUGAAGAGUACCUUCCCUGAAGCCGACGCAUGA
rnacentral:rRNA from 1 species